ensembl:lncRNA
UACAGAUUUAUCUAAACUUCACUUGCAGGUUUAUCUUCGCUAUGUAGUACUCAAUUUCAUUGAGCAAAAUGAGGUUGAGGUGGCACCAUCUUCAUGGCUCGAAAAGAUCGAUGGGGUAGGAUUUAGUUCAUAUCGAAAGACAAUUGCAGUUGUAACUUUUGUUUCUUGCAGAAGAAGAACUUCGGGCGCCCAUACCUAGAAAGACACCACAGACAAAACGCUGUAAAUAUACAUGCAAAACAAAUGAAUCUGGAAUAAUCAAGGAAAGCCAAAAUGCAUAUAAAUGUCUUUGUUGUGUGUAUCUAUAUCUCAUUUAAAUGCUAAUUUUUUUUUACAGUUCUUGAAGAAAGUGAAUCAUCCCAAGGUGAAAUCAUUAUUAUGUUACUGUAUUCUUUUUUUAAUG